UGAGGAACAUGACUUUCGGUGGGGGAGUAGCCGGCCCAACGGCCGGGUAAUACCGCAUACGGUUCUCGAGGGGAGUCCCUUGGGAAAGAAACCUCCGGGGCACAGAGAGGGGCUCGCGGCCUAUCAGCUAGUUGGCGGGGUAAUGGCCCACCAAGGCGACGACGGGUAGCUGGUCUGAGAGGAUGGCCAGCCACAUUGGGACUGAGAGACGGCCCAGACUCCUACGGGAGGCAG
rnacentral:rRNA from 1 species